AAAGCGAGCGGCGGAUGGGUGAGUAACACGUGGGGAACCUGCCCCUAAGUCUGGGAUACCAUUUGGAAACAGGUGCUAAUACCGGAUAAUAAAGCAGAUCGCAUGAUCAGCUUUUGAAAGGCGGCGUAAGCUGUCGCUAAGGGAUGGCCCCGCGGUGCAUUAGCUAGUUGGUAAGGUAACGGCUUACCAAGGCGACGAUGCAUAGCCGAGUUGAGAGACUGAUCGGCCACAUUGGGACUGAGACACGGCCCAAACUCCUACGGGAGGCAGCAGUAGGGAAUCUUCCACAAUGGACGCAAGUCUGAUGGAGCAACGCCGCGUGAGUGAAGAAGGUUUUCGGAUCGUAAAGCUCUGUUGUUGGUGAAGAAGGAUAGAGGUAGUAACUGGCCUUUAUUUGACGGUAAUCAACCAGAAAGUCACGGCUAACUACGUGCCAGCAGCCGCGGUAAUACGUAGGUGGCAAGCGUUGUCCGGAUUUAUUGGGCGUAAAGCGAGCGCAGGCGGAAAAAUAAGUCUAAUGUGAAAGCCCUCGGCUUAACCGAGGAACUGCAUCGGAAACUGUUUUUCUUGAGUGCAGAAGAGGAGAGUGGAACUCCAUGUGUAGCGGUGGAAUGCGUAGAUAUAUGGAAGAACACCAGUGGCGAAGGCGGCUCUCUGGUCUGCAACUGACGCUGAGGCUCGAAAGCAUGGGUAGCGAACAGGAUUAGAUACCCUGGUAGUCCAUGCCGUAAACGAUGAGUGCUAAGUGUUGGGGAGGUUUCCGCCUCUCA
rnacentral:rRNA from 1 species